rnacentral:tRNA from 1 species
GGCGAGAUGAUGGAAUUGGUAGACAUAGCAGACUUAAAAUCUGCUGGGCAUUGUGCCCGUGGGGGUUCGAGUCCCCUUCUCGCUA